GGGACUGGUAGGUGAAGUAGACAAUACUUCGUGCGCAAAUGCUUGUGAAACUUUUUGAUUUAAGGAAUCCAAUUCUCUCUGCUCACGAAGGAUCCUUUGUCUUUCUUCUUCUUGACGUCUUGAAAUGAGCUUUGAUUUUGCUCUUCUGUUUUGAAACCAAAUAGUUACGCUACGUUCCGGAAUAUUCAACUCGCGUCCAAUUUUUUCCCUUAUAGCUGGAGGUGGAUUAGUAUCUUUGGAGAAUUCCCGAAGCAAAUAAGCAAGUUGAUCUGCAGUAAGGCGCUGUUUUUUGCUCUUUGGCGCAGAAGUAGAUCCGCCGCUCUCAGGAGUACCACUUUCGUGAGCGACAUUCUCCUUAGCUUUCUCAACAGAUGUAGCUUCAACAACUUCAUUUUGCUUUGAAUUAGCAGGUUCCGACUCAGAUUUAACAAUAUUAGGUUGAACUGGCGAUGGAUUCGUCAAUUUCGAACUAUUCACAUUAUCAAAUGAAUUAUUAUCUGCAAAACUCGGUGCAUCCGGUUUGGGUUUCUCCUGUUUCCAAUCUACUUUGUUUUCGUCAAAUUCAGGAGGAAAAUAAUUAGGAUUGGUAGGAUUUUGCUGUUCCCCUUGAAGAUGCUGCUCAUACGUUGAAUGGGGUAAUUGCAUGUUAUUAUCAGAUGGAAACUGACCGAGAAAAGAAUCCAUGUCAUAGUUGCUCAAGGACAAAUUCUCCGGGAGCAUUGUAGGUCGCUUCUCAGAAUAAUUAAUAUUGUCAUUAAUUUGACC